GCUGGAGCUGAAAGCAAUGAAAUCCCAUUUAUCUUCGGGGACAUUGGCAGCUCAUCGCAUGCAGUGGUGAAAGAGCUAAUUAAACGUGGCCUCUGGUCUCUGGAAUGAAAGGCUCCCUUGGAAUCAAAUGCUUAUUUGAGAUUCCAUGGAGAUUGCCUUCCAAAUUCCAAAAUUCGUCUCCAGAAUUGUGGCUUGGCAGGAAAACUUACGAACAGUCUUCAUGUGCUUCAACUAAAUAUCUUGGUUAUUUGACGUGCCUGUAGGUGUUC
rnacentral:lncRNA from 12 species